AUUGAACGCUGGCGGCAGGCUUAACACAUGCAAGUCGAGCGGAGAUGAGGUGCUUGCACCUUAUCUUAGCGGCGGACGGGUGAGUAAUGCUUAGGAAUCUGCCUAUUAGUGGGGGACAACAUACCGAAAGGAAUGCUAAUACCGCAUACGCCCUACGGGGGAAAGCAGGGGAUCUUCGGACCUUGCGCUAAUAGAUGAGCCUAAGUCGGAUUAGCUAGUUGGUGGGGUAAAGGCCUACCAAGGCGACGAUCUGUAGCGGGUCUGAGAGGAUGAUCCGCCACACUGGGACUGGGACACGGCCCAGACUCCUACGGGAGGCAGCAGUGGGGAAUAUUGGACAAUGGGCGGAAGCCUGAUCCAGCCAUGCCGCGUGUGUGAAGAAGGCCUUUUGGUUGUAAAGCACUUUAAGCGAGGAGGAGGCUACCUGGAUUAAUACUCUAGGAUAGUGGACGUUACUCGCAGAAUAAGCACCGGCUAACUCUGUGCCAGCAGCCGCAGUAAGAC
rnacentral:rRNA from 1 species